rnacentral:rRNA from 1 species
UACGUAGGGUGCGAGCGUUGUCCGGAAUUAUUGGGCGUAAAGGGCUCGUAGGCGGUUUGUCGCGUCGGGAGUGAAAAUCCAGGGCUUAACUCUGGACUGGCUUCCGAUACGGGCAGACUAGAGGUAUGCAGGGGAGAACGGAAUUCCUGGUGUAGCGGUGAAAUGCGCAGAUAUCAGGAGGAACACCGGUGGCGAAGGCGGCUUUCUGGACAGAUACCGACGCUGAGGCACGAAAGCUAGGGGAGCAAACAGG